AACGAACGCUGGCGGCAUGCCUAACACAUGCAAGUCGAACGAGAUCUUCGGGUCUAGUGGCGCACGGGUGCGUAACGCGUGGGAAUCUGCCCUUUGUUCGGAAUAACAGUUGGAAACGACUGCUAAUACCGGAUGAUGACGAAAGUCCAAAGAUUUAUCGCCAGAGGAUGAGCCCGCGUAGGAUCAGCUAGUUGGUGUGGUAAAGGCGCACCAAGGCGACGAUCCUUAGCUGGUCUGAGAGGAUGAUCAGCCAAACUGGGGCUGAGACACGGCGCAGACUCCUACGGGAGGCAGCAGUGGGGAAUAUUGAACAAUGGGGGAAAGCCUGAUCCAGCAAUGCCGCGUGAGUGAUGAAGGCCUUAGGGUUGUAAAGCUCUUUUACCCGGGAUGAUAAUGACAGUACCGGGAGAAUAAGCUCCGGCUAACUCCGUGCCAGCCGCCGCAGUAA
rnacentral:rRNA from 1 species